rnacentral:rRNA from 1 species
CCUACGGGAGGCAGCAGUGAGGAAUAUUGGUCAAUGGGCGCGAGCCUGAACCAGCCAAGCCGCGUGAGGGAAGACGGUCCUAUGGAUUGUAAACCUCUUUUGUCGGGGGGCAAAAGACGCCACGUGUGGCGUUCCGAGAGUACCCGAAGAAAAAGCAUCGGCUAACUCCGUGCCAGCAGCCGCGGUAAUACGGAGGAUGCGAGCGUUAUCCGGAUUUACUGGGUGUAAAGGGUGCGUAGACGGCAGCACAAGUCUGGAGUGAAAUCCCGGGGCUUAACCCCGGAACUGCUUUGGAUACUGUGCGGCUAGAGAGUAGGAGGGGUAGGCGGAAUGCCUAGUGUAGCGGUGAAAUGCGUAGAGAUUA